UGGGGAAUUUUGGACAAUGGGCGAAAGCCUGUUCCAGCCAUGCCGCGUGCAGGAUGAAGGCCUUCGGGUUGUAAACUGCUUUUGUACGGAACGAAAAGACUCCUUCUAAUAAAGGGGGUCCAUGACGGUACCGUAAGAAUAAGCGCCGGCUAACUACGUGCCAGCAGCCGCGGUAAUACGUAGGGUGCAAGCGUUAAUCGGAAUUACUGGGCGUAAAGCGUGCGCAGGCGGUUUUGUAAGACAGAGGUGAAAUCCCCGGGCUCAACCUGGGAACUGCCUUUGUGACUGCAAGGCUGGAGUGCGGCAGAGGGGGAUGGAAUUCCGCGUGUAGCAGUGAAAUGCGUAGAUAUGCGGAGGAACACCGAUGGCGAAGGCAAUCCCCUGGGCCUGCACUGACGCUCAUGCACGAAAGCGGGAGGAGCAAAC
rnacentral:rRNA from 1 species